rnacentral:sRNA from 1 species
GAACCUUUGCCGCGGCGGUGGCAGGGUACGCGGAACCGCUCCCUCCCAGCCGACUUACGAGAACAUCCCCCGACCAUCCAGCCCCGAGCAGGGACUGGCAGAGCCGGCGCCCCUUCCCCGGACUCCGGCCGCGUAGCCUCCAUCACCACCCCCAGUUCACAGACCUCACGACCUGUGUCAGCAGAGCUGCCCUGCACCGCCAUGUGCAUCAUCUUCUUUAAGUUUGAUCCUCGCCCUGUUUCCAAAAACACGUACAGGCUCAUCUUGGCAGCCAACAGGGACGAAUUCUAUAGCCGACCCUCCAAGUUAGCUGACUUCUGGGGGAACAACAACGAGAUCCUCAGUGGCUGGAGUGCAAUGGUGUGAUCUUGGCUCACUGCAACCUCCACCUCCCAGGUUCAAGCAAUUCUCCUGCCUCAGCCUCCUGAGUAGCUGGAAUUACAGCUGCUUGCCACCAUGCCUAGCUAAUUUUUGUAUUUUUAGUAGAGAUGGGGUUUCACCAUGUUGGCCAGGCUGGUCUCGAACUCCUGACCUCAGGUGAUCCACCUGCCUCCGCC